GAAGUUCUUGUUGAAGACAAGUCUUUAACAGUUCUCUAUCAAGAUGGGAACACUGUUACAUUAAUGGAUCCAAGCACAUUUGAGCAACUUGAAGUUCCCAAGGAUUUGUUUG